GCAUGGUUAUAUUUUUCCUUAUUCCAGGUACAGUAUUCCUCCUCUUUCCUUCUCUUUUGCUGUUUUUCUACCUGAAUCUUUAUCUGAUCUUCUAAUGCACCAAGCUGACAUACUGCUUGAAACGGUCUGCGAUCAAUAGGACAUGAAGCCUGCGUCUCAGCCCAUUUAAGAAUACAAGUCAUGCAGAAAGUAUGACUACAGUUCUCAGGAAAACCAAUCUCCUGUUCCAGAAGGCAGUUCAGACAGAUGGGGCAUGUGUCACCGUCAUGUAAUAAAGUAGAACAGGAACAGCUUUCUUCCAUUUCUUCACCUUCCAUGCCUUCAUGCUUUUGACCCUCUGUAUCUUGAAUACACUGCUUUUUGUUCCUCAUCUUCUUACAAAACGUAGUCUGGCGCCGCGGCGUCCUCCGGCGCGGUCACCACCAUGGAGCGCGGGUUCCGCUUCCCCCGCCCCGCGGAGGGCCGGCAGGGCAGGGCAGGGCACGGCCUGGCUCAGCGGUCGCCGGGCCACAUGUCCGCGCGGCCGAGGGGUGGCGCCGGCGGAGGCCGCGCGGGGGCGCUGUUCUGCCGCCUUCCGCUGCGGGAGGAAGUGAGGAGCGAGCAGCGUGGCGGCGCGGCUGAGAGAGCAUUGUGGGAAAGGUCCUCCGGUGUCACCUGAAGGGGGGAGGGGCGGGGGGAGGAGGAACACGUGAC
rnacentral:lncRNA from 1 species